rnacentral:rRNA from 1 species
GACGAACGCUGGCGGCGUGCUUAACACAUGCAAGUCGAACGGAAAGGCCCUGCUUUUGUGGGGUGCUCGAGUGGCGAACGGGUGAGUAACACGUGAGUAACCUGCCCUUGACUUUGGGAUAACUUCAGGAAACUGGGGCUAAUACCGGAUAGGAGCUCCUGCUGCAUGGUGGGGGUUGGAAAGUUUCGGCGGUUGGGGAUGGACUCGCGGCUUAUCAGCUUGUUGGUGGGGUAGUGGCUUACCAAGGCUUUGACGGGUAGCCGGCCUGAGAGGGUGACCGGCCACAUUGGGACUGAGAUACGGCCCAGACUCCUACGGGAGGAAGAAGUGGGGAAUAUUGAACAAGGGGCGGAAGCCUGAUGCAGCAACGCCGCGUGCGGGAUGACGGCCUUCGGGUGGUAAACCGCUUGCGCCUGUGACGAAGCGUGAGUGACGGGAAUGGGUAAAGAAGCACCGGCUAAAUACGUG